rnacentral:lncRNA from 1 species
UAAGAGACCCUCACCUUUUUUCUCUUCCAGCAAAAGCUUGUUUUCACGGUGAUAGCAAGAAAGAGGUACCAGGACUCCCUCAGCAGAAUCUUUCAGAGGAAUGAAGGAAGAACUGUGCAUAAAUUAUGGAUUUAUUUUCUUCUACUUGGGAAUUAUCACGCGAUGCCCACUGCUGCCUCACGGGAGCACCCAGAGCCCUGCAGCCCGCUACAUGGUGUGACUGACCCACUCGUAUGCCCACAGGAAAAC